UUGAACGCUGGCGGAAUGCUUUACACAUGCAAGUCGAGCGGCAGCGCGGGGGCAACCCUGGCGGCGAGCGGCGAACGGGUGAGUAAUGUAUCGGAACGUACCCUGUCGUGGGGGAUAACACAGCGAAAGCUGUGCUAAUACCGCAUACGACCUGAGGGCGAAAGCGGGGGAUCGCAAGACCUCGCGCGAUAGGAGCGGCCGAUAUCGGAUUAGCUUGUUGGUGAGGUAAAGGCUCACCAAGGCGACGAUCCGUAGCUGGUCUGAGAGGACGACCAGCCACACUGGAACGGAGACACGGGCCAGACGCCUACGGGAGGCAGCAGUGGGGAAUUUUGGACAAUGGGGGCAACCCUGAUCCAGCCAGGCCGCGUGAGUGAAGAAGGCCUUCGGGUUGUAAAGCUCUUUCAGCAGGAACGAAACGGUGGCCAUUAAUACUGGCGACGAAUGACGGUACCUGAAGAAGAAGCACCGGCUAACUACGU
rnacentral:rRNA from 1 species